CCUACGGGUGGCAGCAGUGAGGAAUAUUGGUCAAUGGACGAGAGUCUGAACCAGCCAAGUAGCGUUAAGGAUGACUGCCCUAUGGGUUGUAAACUUCUUUUAUAAAGGAAUAAACCGAGGCACGGGUGCCUUUUUGCAUGUACUUUAUGAAUAAGGAUCGGCUACCUCCGUGCCAGCAGCCGCGGUAAUACGGAGGAUACGAGCGUUAUCCGGAUUUAUUGGGUUUAAAGGGAGCGUAGAUGGGUUGUUAAGUCAGUUGUGAAAGUUUGCGGCGCAACCGUAAAAUUGCAAUUGAUACUGGCAGUCGUGAGUACAGUUGAGGUAGGCGGAAUUCGUGGUGUAGCGGUGAAAUGCUUAGAUAUCACGAAGAACCCCGAUUGCGAAGGCAGCUUACUAAACUGUGACUGACAUUGAUGCUCGAAAGUGUGGGUAUCAAACAGGAUUAGAUACCCCAGUAGUC
rnacentral:rRNA from 1 species